AAGCCCCGGAGCCUUUUAGGGCUCGUCUUCAAACUUGCAAUUUGACGUGUUCCCACCACGAAGCU
rnacentral:tRNA from 1 species